rnacentral:rRNA from 1 species
UCUUACGGACUAGCCAAUGAAAUUGAUCCUUCAGUACAAAAGCUGGAAUUAACCCAUAAGACGAGAAGACCCUGUGGAGCUUCAAAACCAAAAUCACUAAACAUGCCUCCUGGUUUUUUAGUUGGGGCGACUUUGGAGCAAAAAAAAUCCUCCAAAACAUAAAGUCAUUUAUUAAGAAAAACACACCAAAAAUAAUAUUAUAGACCCAGCAGUACUAGUUUACUGUCUGAUCAAUGAACCAAGUUACCCCAGGGAUAACAGCGCCAUCCUCUUCUAGAGUCCUUAUCGACAAGAGGGUUUACGACCUCGAUGUUGGAUCAGGACAC